rnacentral:lncRNA from 1 species
AGCCUCAAUGAGAUGCUUUUGGGCUACAAACGGUGCAAAACUUCUCUCACAAGCCAGGAAUGAAAGUUUGAAUUGGGUGCCAGCCUAAUGUCUGUGGGAAGAUUAUUUCAAUCCCUUGGGAAAAGGAGAUCCUCCGUAAGAAGUUAAUACCCUUGGGACAGUAUAUUGGAAAGCUGCAUUUGAUCUCCCCUGACAAAUAUGACAGCAUAUCAUGUCUGAGAAGGUCCUGUCAGUAAAAGGUCAAACUCCUCAGCGUGAAGCAGGCCAGGCUUUGCACGUCUCUAUUUUGACAUGUCCUGGAGUGUGACAGCACUUCCUGACUGGAGCGAGCCUAGGUUUGCUCUCUUUCAGGAUGAUUUCUUCAGUCGCUGACUGCCACCCAAAAGAUGCAAGAUUUCAAAGCACUCUACAAAUAUUAUGGACCAAACUAUGCCCUUGGAUGUGUUGCACGUGGCGUCCACUGUCUUCAGUGGCAUCCUGA